AGAACGAACGCUGGCGGCAGGCUUAACACAUGCAAGUCGAACGCGUGUAGCAAUACACGAGUGGCGCACGGGUGAGUAACGCGUGGAUAUCUGCCUUUUGGUUCGGAAUAACCCCGGGAAACUGGGGCUAAUACCGGAUGGUUCCUACGGGAUAAAGAUUUAUCGCCAAAAGAUGAGUCCGCGUACGAUUAGCUAGUUGGUGAGGUAAUGGCUCACCAAGGCGACGAUCGUUAGCUGGUCUGAGAGGACGAUCAGCCACACUGGGACUGAGACACGGCCCAGACUCCUACGGGAGGCAGCAGUGGGGAAUAUUGGACAAUGGGGGCAACCCUGAUCCAGCCAUGCCGCGUGAGUGAUGAAGGCCUUCGGGUUGUAAAGCUCUUUUGGCGGGGACGAUGAUGACGGUACCGCAGAAUAAGCCCCGGCUAACUACGUGCCAGCAGCCGC
rnacentral:rRNA from 1 species